GGAUUCCCCUAGUAACGGCGAGUGAACGGGGAAGAGCCCAGCGCAAAAUCUCUUCGCUCUAACGGGUGAAGAGAGGUGUUGCGUAUAGUAGGCGAAUUUCCUUGAUGGCUGUCGACUUAAAUUCUCCUUGACUGGGGUUCCAGAGAAGGUGAAAGGCCUGUUCAGUCGAUGGCCGUCUUGGAUUCCGCUCUACUUGGAGUCGGGUUGUUUGGGAACGCAGCCCAAAUUGGGUGGUAAACUUCAUCUAAGGCUAAAUACGGCCACGAAACCGAUAGCAAACAAGUACCGUGAGGGAAAGUUGAAAAGUACUUUGAAGAGAGAGUUCAAGAGGACGUGAAACCGGUAGGGUGGAAACGGAUAGAGCCAAUGAACAAGCCCGUAUUCAGCUAGUCGGCUGCGUGCGGCCUGUUGGUGCUUCCCGUAUGGGAGUGCUAGCGGGUGCGGUAUGCGGCUGGCUAGUGCAUUUGCGGGUGAUGUGCGCUGCGGCRUGUGCUGGAGUCCUGCGAACUGUCGUUAGAGGCCAUCGCUUCGGCUUUGGAACCUGGCGGCGGGUAGUAGUGAUUUCUGGUGCAUGUAGAUAGAACGGACUGGAGUCCUCGCGCUGCCGUGUUGUGGAGGCUAGCUUACUGGUCGGUCGCAUGCGACUAGGCCUUUAGGCUGGUCCCCUCGAUGCGGUAGUGCCCUGUCCGAUCCGCGGUGUAAAAGUUGGUCAUCUCUCCGACCCGUCUUGAAACACGGACCAAGGAGUCUAGCGUAUGCGCGAGUCAUUGGGUGGUAAACCCAUAGGCGUAAUGAAAGUGAAGGUUCAGCAAUGAACUGAUAUGCGAUCCGUUGGGCUACGGCCUAGCGGAGCAGCAUAGCCCCGUCUUAACUGCUUGCAGUAGGGCGGAGGUAGAGCGUAUUCGCUGGUACCCGAAAGAUGGUGAACUAUGCCUGAGCAGGAUGAAGCCAGAGGAAACUCUGGUGGAGGUCCGAAGCGCUUCUGACGUGCAAAUCGAUCGUCUGACUUGGGUAUAGGGGCGAAAGACUAAUC
rnacentral:rRNA from 1 species